CUGGCUGUACUGGGGUGCGGUGCGGGGCUGCUCUGCAGCUCCUGCCUGGGUCGUGCUGGCAGUGGGAACGGUCCAGGUGCUGCCAGUGGAUGGAGGUUGUUUGUGAAUAUCUGUUUUCUCCCUCUCUUUUUUUUGGGGGGAGGGAGAAGGCUUUCUAUAUGUGUGCUCAGGCUGGAUUGGGUAUUUCUGGGGCACCAGGAAUAGGCUUGACUUUUGUAUUCAACAGCACGCGUUUCAGAAGAGGACGUGUGGAAAUCUUUUUUGGGUCUCCCUGCUCAGUGGGACUGCUUUGGCUCAUUACAACUGCAGGUGGAUUUUCAGGUGGCACUUUUCUGCUCUUAGAAAUGCCUGAUGUUCAUUGCGAGGUCAGACAGGAAGCCCAGCACUGUUUGUCCACUUCUUUUUACUGUCAUCUCUCACCGGCCAGUGUGCUGGGCUUUGCUGCUGUGAAAAAUGGGUGUGGACACUUGACAGGUACAGUGAAACCUCUCAUUAACUCAAACUCUUAACGUGCAUGAUUAGAGUCAGCUCAGAUCUGAUUGUAACUUCUCUUCCAUGGACUGCUGGUUGGAAGGAGUUCUGGUAUGUCUUUUGUUGGCCAAGUUAUACUCCAAAGGUGAGGGGAUAAUGUUGGAGGGAGCAUUGCUUCCUGAUUAGUGCGAAUGGGCCAACUGACAAGCCCAACUUUAUGGUUGUGGCCAGUGGUGUGGCUCUGCAAAGAGAUGGUGCUUUUGAGUGCUUUUGCCUUAAAGACUGGUUUGGCCAUGAAGAGAGAAAAGAACUGCGCAGUUGCAGCAGCUGGUUUCUGUGGCAGUUUUCAUGUUAUCAUCAAUGGGACCCCUUUAGUGUCCACGGUGCAGGUGCAAGAUGUGGUAUUUUGUUUGUUUAGGAGAGAACAAGUAAUGUUUUUGACCUGCAGGAGUGGUAUUGCUCAGCAGAGGGAAUGAUGUCUUAUUGCCUUUUCCACGUCCCAUGGGGAGAUAACAUGAGAGAUUAUCCUAGAGAGAUAGCAUGCUGUGCCAACCUGGGGAUGGACUAUAGCUGAAAGUAGUAAAACUGUCUGUCUCUUGUUUGAUGAUGACAGCUAUCUUAGAGAAAGUUUCAUUGCAGGGAUGAUUUCAGACAGUUUGUGCCUUCCUUCCUAUAAGCUGAGGAGUAACUGCUAGUAAUGAUUAAUUUAAAUAAGGAAAAUAUAAACCCUGAAUUCUCUUUGGGCAAAUAGCGGUCAUGUAAAAGUCUCUAGUGUUCUUUGUGGUACCUGUAGACGGUCUACCUACUACUUCUGGUUUGUUGCUAAAGCAGUUUGGGGAAAGGCUGUGUUUCCAGCAGCUACAGAUGAUCCUGGUUUGUGUAGGUCUACAAUGUAGCAGGACUUCCCUACUUUCCAAGGCUUAAUGUAGUUUAUUUCUCCUAUGCAGGUUGCUUUACUAGUCUGGUAGUGGCACCAUGUUGCUGCUGCUCCUUGAGCUCUGAAUACUUCAGUGGUGACCUGGGUGAAAUACAAGUAAACACACAGUUGGAUUGACCUAGCAUAUCAAAGCUCUUGGUAUGCUGAAAAUGUUUGUUUUUGAGAUGUUUGUGCACUCUGAAGAGCUCUGUACCUUAAACCCAAUUUGCAGGGGACUGUGACCAUGUUUAAGCUGUGAAAAACAAAAGAUCAACCCAAAGAAUCUGUGCUUUUAGUGCUUGUUCUGUGAGAUUGAAUAAGUUGCUAGCAAACUAUUAAAGUGCUACUGGAAAAAAGUUAUUAUGAUAACCUACCUGAGUAAACUAGGUAGACAGAGUUUCUGGUCUAAUGCAUUUUUCUAUCUGUGUCUCUUUUUGCAUUUAUCCCUUGGCUUAAAUUGUCUCUGGUUCAUCUAUUCUAGAAUAAAAUUUUAUCCUGUUAGCGGGAAAGAUGG
ensembl:lncRNA